rnacentral:rRNA from 1 species
CUUUACUAUAGUUUGACAUUGAAUCGGGAUCUAUUUUGUGUAGGAUAGGUGGGAGCCUUUGAAACCUGGGCGCUAGCUUGGGUGGAGGCAACGUUGAAAUACCACCCUGAAUAUAUUUUGAUUCUAACUUCCCCCAUAAUCUGGGGUGAGGACAUUGUUUGAUGGGUAGUUUAACUGGGGCGGUUGCCUCCUAAAUUGUAACGGAGGCGCGCAAUGGUCCGCUAGACCCGGAUGGAAAUCGGGUUGAUAGUGUAUUCGCACAAGCGGGCUUGACUGUGAGGGCAACAACCCGAGCAGGUGCGAAAGCAGGUGAAAGUGAUCCGGCACCUUGUACUAGAAUUUAUUCCAGUACGACCACGUGGGU